UUUCAGGGGUUAAAGUGUUACUCACACACUUUUUGAAAACUUUUGGUUGGUUGAGAAUCAAAAAACUGCCACAUCAGAAAUAAGAGGCUUCAGGCCAAAAAGGUUCCCCAGAGACUCCGUGACAUAAAGGAUGUUUUAGAUUGAUACAAGAAAACCAUACUCACAGGCCGAGUUAGAUGAGGUGCGGGUUGAGUUGGUUGAGUUUUUGGGUUCGUACAUAUGAU